rnacentral:tRNA from 1 species
AGAAACAUAGUAUAUUUAAUACAUUUCAUUUACACUGAAAAGCUACUUAGUUUAUUAAGUUGUUUUUA